rnacentral:rRNA from 1 species
ACCUUACCAAGUCUUGACAUCCCCCUGACCGGUGAGUAAHGUCACCUUUCCUUCGGGACAGGGGAGACAGGUGGUGCAUGGUUGUCGUCAGCUCGUGUCGUGAGAUGUUGGGUUAAGUCCCGCAACGAGCGCAACCCUUAUCCUUAGUAGCCAGCAGGUDAAGCUGGGCACUCUAGGGAGACUGCCAGGGACAACCUGGAGGAAGGUGGGGAUGACGUCAAAUCAUCAUGCCCCUUAUGAUUUGGGCUACACACGUGCUACAAUGGCGUAAACAAAGAGAGGCGAGAGGGYGACCUGGAGCAAAUCUCAAAAAUAACGUCCCAGUUCGGACUGUAGUCUGCAACCCGACUACAYGAAGCUGGAAUCGCUAGUAAUCGCGAAUCASAAUGYCGCGGGGAAUACGUUCCCGGGUCU